rnacentral:rRNA from 1 species
AGUGAACGCUGGCGGUAGGCCUAACACAUGCAAGUCGAACGGCAGCACAGUAAGAGCUUGCUCUUACGGGUGGCGAGUGGCGGACGGGUGAGGAAUACAUCGGAAUCUACUUUUUCGUGGGGGAUAACGUAGGGAAACUUACGCUAAUACCGCAUACGACCUACGGGUGAAAGCAGGGGAUCUUCGGACCUUGCGCGAUUGAAUGAGCCGAUGUCGGAUUAGCUAGUUGGCGGGGUAAAGGCCCACCAAGGCGACGAUCCGUAGCUGGUCUGAGAGGAUGAUCAGCCACACUGGAACUGAGACACGGCCCAGACUCCUACGGGAGGCAGCAGUGGGGAAUAUUGGACAAUGGGCGAAAGCCUGAUCCAGCCAUACCGCGUGGGUGAAGAAGGCCUUCGGGUUGUAAAGCCCUUUUGUUGGGAAAGAAAAGCAGCAGGUUAAUACCCCGAUGUUCUGACGGUACCCAAAGAAUAAGCACCGGCUAACUUCGUG